rnacentral:rRNA from 1 species
GACGUAGGGGGGCGAGCGUUGUCCGGAAUUACUGGGCGUAAAGCGCGUGCAGGCGGCCUGGUAAGUCCCGUGUAAAAGCCUACAGCUCAACUGUAGGAGGCCGCGGGAUACUGUCGGGCUAGAGGGCAGGAGAGGGAAGUGGAAUUCCCGGUGUAGCGGUGAAAUGCGUAGAUAUCGGGGAGGAACGCCAGUGGCGAAGGCGGCUUCCUGGCCUGUCCCUGACGCUGA